UUAUUUCUGCAUCUACCCACAUUUCUCACUUUGUCUGUAGCAUUAGCAAGUCCUUUCUAUUUACCACAUCAAUCUAAGACCUUGGAAUUUGAACAUAGCAAGUGCUCCUGGUCUCCUUUCCCAAUUAAUGGCUGAAUACUGUGAUAUAUUCCUGCCUGUUCCAUGUAUUUUGUUUAUUAGGAAUUGGGUUGUCAUCCAAAAUCCUCUGCACAACUUUCCAAAUUCCCAUUUUUAUUCAAAUUUCUAAGCUACUUCAAGAUUUUUAAGGGUCUAGGAAAAAAAAAUCUGAACAACCCUAAUGUAACUUAUUUGUAUAAUAGUAAUAAACCAUGUGAUUAUUCCUUUCAUCUGAGCGGAUUCUUAAACAGCUAACACAUUGCAUAAUUUCCAAGCUGUCAGAAAAUAACUAUAGUUUCAGGUAUUAACUAAAGUGUUAAAACUUUUAACCGUUUUCUUCCCUCUGUUCCUCACCAAUUCUGCCCAUCAGCAUUGGGAUCCUCGGAAAUGAAGUUUGUAGCCUUUCAGACCCGCUACAGCAGGGGGUAUAGAAGGGCUGAGCCAUAUGUGUGAGAUAAAUGACAGGCUUACCAGAGCAUCCUUAGCCCCUAGCAGAGUUCCUAUUAAAUGAGUGAAUCUGGAAAUUGAUCCAGCUUGUUCUUUUGUAUUAUUUGUGAAAUAAAAUUCAUAUUUUAUGGCAAGACAAGGAAAACUUAAACAUAAAAAAUUUUCUCUGGGGACUUCCCUGGCGGUCCAGUGGUUAAGACUCUGCAUUUCCACUGCAGGGGGCCUGGGUCCGAUCCCUGGUCGGGAAACUAAGAUCCCGCAUGCCGCGUGGUGUGGCCAAAAGAAAAAAAAAAUUUUUUUUCUCUGCCCUUUGGCCUCCUCUCUUUCCUCUACUGUGCAUUGCGUAUCUGCAUUAUGCAUCAACCAAACCUCCCCAUCAGCAGAAAUACCUGUUCAACCAUAAAGAGAAACAUUCUAGCACCAACAAGGUACUCCUUAAAAGGUAGCAUUCCUUCUUAAUGGGAAAAAAGCCCCUUAAAAUGAAAUGUAGAGAAAAGCUCUCUCUCCAUGUUUGGGCCUCUGUCAUCAUUAGAAAAAUUCACUCUGGAGUUAGUUUAUAAAUGUGAUCAUAUUGUCUAUGGCGCUGCUUUUGCUCUACAAUGGCAGCACCCCAAUUAAGCAAAAUGUUAUUUUCUCAAAAAAUUUUUUUCAUUCUUCCCAUCAGAAGACCUGUAUUACGAAAAAUUGUACUCAAUUAUUAUAGUUUGAAUAAGAUAAUUAUAUUUCAUUAAUAAAAUGUGUGGAAAUU
rnacentral:tRNA from 1 species